CAAAACGCUGCGCUCUUUGAUAAACGGUCCACUUCCUUGCUUGGCUGCGGGUGUGCGGCUCUCUCGACUUUUAUACUCGUUCCUGCAUCUUAAUUGUUUGAUGAAAUUCUUGAAAGAACCAGGGAAGCCAUUCCGAAUUCUCCUCGAUAUAGCUACGUUAUAACCGUUAAUAAGUGAACUUGAUCCCUCUGUUUAUAAUCUUAACAUUACACUAUGCAACGCGUAUCAUCGAGAUUCUCAAGAACCUUAGCGUUCUCAGUUCUCUCCACCACCGUAAUACAACUUCGAACUUUAACUACCCGCUCAGUGAGCCCAACUCUUCAAACCCUUCAUCAACAAGAACCCACCAUUCCAAGUCAUUUCUUGAAAUGGUGUUCGCUUGGUUUUUUUAGAACCUCAAGAUUUGCCACUGGGUUCACUCCGUUGCAACCAAAGCCGCUUGAUUCGAUCAUGGAUAUUGAACGGGCCAAGGGCAAGUCCCCUGAGGACCUCGCUUCCAUUUGGGCUGAUUGUCACUUGGGAAGAGGUCAUAUUGGUGCGUCUGUGACAGCCAAACUUUAUCAUUUGUUGGUGCAAAGAGCAGCAGAUUGCCGGUAUUUUGUUAUUCCUCUGUGGAGGGGAAGUGGUUAUUCGACAAUGUUUGCUCAAGUACAGAUGCCACACAUGCUUUUCACUGGCCUUGAAGAUUACAAGGCAAGAGGAACUCAGGCAGCACCCUACUUCACUGUCUCUUUUUACACUGAAUUUGCAGAAACCAAGGACUUGGUCCUUAUCCGGGGAGAUGUUAUUUUUACCAGUAAGCUUAGCGAUGAAGAGGCAACGUGGCUUUUAGAGACUGCUCAAUCUUUUUAUUUGAAUGAUGUGAGGUACAAGCUGGUUGAAAGGUUCAACAAAGAAACACGUGAUUUUGAAUUCAAGGAUGUCUUGCGAGCAUUGGAUAUGCCCAUUCUGUGAUUUUCUAAACUAAUUAAUUUUGGUCAAACAGUAUUAGAAUCUAAAGGAGAAUGAUUUGAUGACUUGGGAAUUGAGAAUGUUGAACUGUUAUCAUGCAGCAAGUUCCACAGCACCAUGGGAAAAGCUGAUGCACCCCCUUUUCUACUGGGAUAGAAUUAGUUACUUUUGCAAACUGUUCUGUGUUUGAAGACAUGAUUCCUGAAAUGCAUCUAAUAAUUGCUUAUAUACAAGUGAAAUAAAGACAACAUAAUUACAAUCUCAAAUGAAAGCAUCCAUUGGAGUGCAGUUCAUGAGUUUGUGAAUUCUGUAUUUACAUUGACAAGUUGUGGUAAUUUCUCAUGUUAAUGCUAGCAGCUCUAUAACAUAGUUUGGAUUUUUAGUGACAGAGGGUGUCUGCACUCUGGAAUUAAUUGAAAGCAAAUGCAAUUUCUG
rnacentral:misc_RNA from 1 species